CGGGACGGGUGAGUAACACGUGGAUAACCUACCUAUAAGACUGGGAUAACUUCGGGAACCGGAGCUAAUACCGGAUAAUAUAUUGAACCGCAUGGUUCAAUAGUGAAAGACGGUUUUGCUGUCACUUAUAGAUGGAUCCGCGCCGCAUUAGCUAGUUGGUAAGGUAACGGCUUACCAAGGCAACGAUGCGUAGCCGACCUGAGAGGGUGAUCGGCCACACUGGAACUGAGACACGGUCCAG
rnacentral:rRNA from 1 species